UUUGCAACCCACAACUCUUCGAAGUCACAUGGGUGGUGUGUUCAUCAGGAGAAACAUAAAAUGGCGGUUUGUGUUGAUCGGUUAUUCUUUGCUCAGUUAUUUAUAAUAAAUCCUUUAUAUAAACUAUAAUAGUGCUUUGAAUGCAUUGUCGCAAGAAACUAAGAAGCUUCUUCACUAAAUUGUAAGUUUCUUAGAAUAAAUAAAAAAUUAAACGAAGGAAGGAAAUGAAACGAAUCAGAAAUGUAACUAAUAAAGCAUUUAAUGAAGAAACUAAAAUCCUUUCCACCACAGUUGUAAGUUCCUUAGGACAGAUGAGAUUAAACUUGAAUGAAAUUUUAUGAAGAAAGAAAAUGAAAUGAAUUAGAAACGUAAAUAUAAAAGGU